GGUUAAGCGACUAAGCGUACACGGUGGAUGCCCUGGCAGUCAGAGGCGAUGAAGGACGUGCUAAUCUGCGAAAAGCGUCGGUAAGGUGAUAUGAACCGUUACAGCCGGCGAUGUCCGAAUGGGGAAACCCAGUGCAAUUCGUUGCACUAUCGUUUGAUGAAUACAUAGUCAAACGAGGCGAACCGGGGGAACUGAAACAUCUAAGUACCCCGAGGAAAAGAAAUCAACCGAGAUUCCCCCAGUAGCGGCGAGCGAACGGGGAGCAGCCCGGAGUCUGAAUCAGCUUGUGUGUUAGUGGAAGCGUCUGGAAAGUCGCAGGGUACAGGGUGAUACUCCCGUACACUAAAACACACAGGCUGUGAACUCGAAGAGUAGGGCGGGACACGUGGUAUCCUGUCUGAAUAUGGGGGGACCAUCCUCCAAGGCUAAAUACUCCUGACUGACCGAUAGUGAACCAGUACCGUGAGGGAAAGGCGAAAAGAACCCCGGCGAGGGGAGUGAAAAAGAACCUGAAACCGUGUACGUACAAGCAGUAGGAGCCCACUAGUUGGGUGACUGCGUACCUUUUGUAUAAUGGGUCAGCGACUUAUAUUCUGUAGCAAGGUUAACCGUAUAGGGGAGCCGCAGGGAAACCGAGUCUUAACUGGGCGUUAAGUUGCAGGGUAUAGACCCGAAACCCGGUGAUCUAGCCAUGGGCAGGUUGAAGGUUGGGUAACACUAACUGGAGGACCGAACCGACUAAUGUUGAAAAAUUAGCGGAUGACUUGUGGCUGGGGGUGAAAGGCCAAUCAAACCGGGAGAUAGCUGGUUCUCCCCGAAAGCUAUUUAGGUAGCGCCUCGUGAAUUCAUCUUCGGGGGUAGAGCACUGUUUCGGCUAGGGGGUCAUCCCGACUUACCAACCCGAUGCAAACUACGAAUACCGAAGAAUGUUAUCACGGGAGACACACGGCGGGUGCUAACGUCCGUCGUGAAGAGGGAAACAACCCAGACCGCCAGCUAAGGUCCCAAAGUCAUGGUUAAGUGGGAAACGAUGUGGGAAGGCCCAGACAGCCAGGAUGUUGGCUUAGAAGCAGCCAUCAUUUAAAGAAAGCGUAAUAGCUCACUGGUCGAGUCGGCCUGCGCGGAAGAUGUAACGGGGCUAAACCAUGCACCGAAGCUGCGGCAGCGACGCUUAUGCGUUGUUGGGUAGGGGAGCGUUCUGUAAGCCGUUGAAGGUGGCCUGUGAGGGUUGCUGGAGGUAUCAGAAGUGCGAAUGCUGACAUAAGUAACGAUAAUGCGGGUGAAAAACCCGCACGCCGGAAGACCAAGGGUUCCUGUCCAACGUUAAUCGGGGCAGGGUGAGUCGACCCCUAAGGCGAGGCCGAAAGGCGUAGUCGAUGGGAAACAGGUUAAUAUUCCUGUACUUGGUGUUACUGCGAAGGGGGGACGGAGAAGGCUAUGUUGGCCGGGCGACGGUUGUCCCGGUUUAAGCAUGUAGGCGGAUGUUCCAGGUAAAUCCGGAACGUUACUAACGCUGAGGUGUGAUGACGAGGCACUACGGUGCUGAAGUGACAAAUGCCCUGCUUCCAGGAAAAGCCUCUAAGCAUCAGGUAACAUCAAAUCGUACCCCAAACCGACACAGGUGGUCAGGUAGAGAAUACCAAGGCGCUUGAGAGAACUCGGGUGAAGGAACUAGGCAAAAUGGUGCCGUAACUUCGGGAGAAGGCACGCUGAUGGUAGGUGAAGUGACUUGCUCACGGAGCUGAAAUCAGUCGAAGAUACCAGCUGGCUGCAACUGUUUAUUAAAAACACAGCACUGUGCAAACACGAAAGUGGACGUAUACGGUGUGACGCCUGCCCGGUGCCGGAAGGUUAAUUGAUGGGGUUAUCCUCACGGAGAAGCUCUUGAUCGAAGCCCCGGUAAACGGCGGCCGUAACUAUAACGGUCCUAAGGUAGCGAAAUUCCUUGUCGGGUAAGUUCCGACCUGCACGAAUGGCGUAAUGAUGGCCAGGCUGUCUCCACCCGAGACUCAGUGAAAUUGAACUCGCUGUGAAGAUGCAGUGUACCCGCGGCAAGACGGAAAGACCCCGUGAACCUUUACUAUAGCUUGACACUGAACACUGGUCCUUGAUGUGUAGGAUAGGUGGGAGGCUUUGAAGUGUGGACGCCAGUCUGCAUGGAGCCAUCCUUGAAAUACCACCCUUUAAUGGCUGGUGUUCUAACGUGGGCCCGUAAUCCGGGUUGCGGACAGUGUCUGGUGGGUAGUUUGACUGGGGCGGUCUCCUCCUAAAGAGUAACGGAGGAGCACGAAGGUCAGCUAAUCCUGGUCGGACAUCAGGAGGUUAGUGCAAUGGCAUAAGCUGGCUUGACUGCGAGCGUGACGGCGCGAGCAGGUGCGAAAGCAGGUCAUAGUGAUCCGGUGGUUCUGAAUGGAAGGGCCAUCGCUCAACGGAUAAAAGGUACUCCGGGGAUAACAGGCUGAUACCGCCCAAGAGUUCAUAUCGACGGCGGUGUUUGGCACCUCGAUGUCGGCUCAUCACAUCCUGGGGCUGAAGUAGGUCCCAAGGGUAUGGCUGUUCGCCAUUUAAAGUGGUACGCGAGCUGGGUUUAGAACGUCGUGAGACAGUUCGGUCCCUAUCUGCCGUGGGCGCUGGAGAAUUGAGGGGGGCUGCUCCUAGUACGAGAGGACCGGAGUGGACGCAUCACUGGUGUUCGGGUUGUCAUGCCAAUGGCAUUGCCCGGUAGCUAAAUGCGGAAGAGAUAAGUGCUGAAAGCAUCUAAGCACGAAACUUGCCCCGAGAUGAGUUCUCCCUGACUCCUUGAGAGUCCUGAAGGAACGUUGAAGACGACGACGUUGAUAGGCCGGGUGUGUAAGCGCAGCGAUGCGUUGAGCUAACCGGUACUAAUGAACCGUGAGGCUUAACCUU
rnacentral:rRNA from 1 species